rnacentral:rRNA from 1 species
UGGGGAAUCUUGCGCAAUGCGCGAAAGCGUGACGCAGCAACGCCGCGUGAGGGAAGACGGCCUUCGGGUUGUAAACCUCUUUCAGUUGGGACGAAGCUUCGCCGGUUAACAGCCGGCUGGAGUGACGGUACCUUCAGAAGAAGCCCCGGCUAACUACGUGCCAGCAGCCGCGGUAAUACGUAGGGGGCAAGCGUUGUCCGGAAUCAUUGGGCGUAAAGCGCGCGUAGGUGGCUCAGUAAGUCCGCUCUGAAAGCUUGGGGCUUAACCCCAAGAGGCGGGCGGAUACUGCUGGGCUCGAGUCCGGAAGAGGCGAGUGGAAUUCCUGGUGUAGCGGUGAAAUGCGCAGAUAUCAGGAGGAACACCAAUGGCGAAGGCAGCUCGCUGGGACGGUACUGACGCUGAGGCGCGAAAGCGUGGGGAGCAAACAG